AACAGUCCUCCUGCCUCAGCCUCCCUAGUGCUGGGAUUACAGGUGCGCGCCACCAUGCCCAGCUUUUUUCUUUCUUUCUUUUUUUUUUUUUUGAACUCUUCUUUUUUAAAAGCUCUCCAAGUUAGUUGAUUUGAGGGCAGCCCUAUGUGCCUGUUAAAGUUUGUGUUCAAAGGCGACCUGUAAGCCCGCUGGGGCUGAGUAAUCAAUAAAAACUUGUAGAAAUGCAUUAAAUGGCACAAGAAAAGAAAAUGAUCAUUCAUUUUUGAAAAUACUGAACAUGGAGAAUUCAACAUCGGGGAGUUCAAAAUUGUGUUAAUAAAAUCUAGUAUCACUUUUUUCUCUAACUGUGCCACAUCCAGGUGUCUUGAGGAUUACAAAUGCUACAGAACCGCUAGAGAAGAAAUCCGUGCUCGCCUGCAGAAAGGAGAGAGGGCGCUCAGGUUGGCCAUGUUCCCGCUGCCCGUGUCUUACAAAGAAGCUUUGGGGCGCUUGGAGCAGAGCAAGGCCCUGGAGUGUGAUCUCCUGGCAGCCAAAGAGGAGCUGGCGGAGCUGCGCCGCGUCGCCGGGCGCCUGGGCCGCAGGAGCGCGGACAGCGAUGGCGUGUGUGUGCGCCGGGCCGCGGCUGCGCUGUGGGCGCGCUGGCUGCGCGCGCUGGGAGCUGCCAGGGAGUGGGCCACGUGGAGUGAAGACUUGAAGCAGGAGUGGAAGUUCGUCAGCGAGGAAGUGAGUGUCUCACCUCAGCACUCAGCUCCACGGUCUGCAGACAAGCACUGCAGUACCUUCACUUUGUUUUGGUGUAAAGUGAGGCUGGCGGGACGGGGCUGAGGCCCAGAAUCCCAGCUCCUCAGAAGCCUGAGGCGGGAGGUCGCCCGGGUGACUUAGCGAGACCCUGUCUCAGAGUUGUUUUGCUUUUGUUUGUUUUCCUAGUGCUGGGGACGGAACUCAGGACUUGCACAUGCUAGGCAAGCAUUCUACCUCCCCAGCCCUUAAGACGCAUCUCAAAAUUUAGAAAUAGUGAAAAGGGGUGGGCGUGUAUAGCUCAGCACUUCUGAGCUCAUCCUCAACACGCAGCAAAGACACGUCUGUAACCUGCACCCUUUGUGUACACACGUAUACACCUCAGUUCAGGAAAUGGAUUCUUUUCACGGUCUGGUCACAAUCUGAAUUGGAUGAGAACCAAAUCAAAUUCAGGGCUUAGAUUCAGUGUUAACCAUGUCGGGAAAUUUUAUUUGGUUCUUGUCCAGUUCGGUUUGUGAUCAGAAUUGUGGAAAGAAUUGUUUGUGAACCAAGGUACCGCUGUAUAUUACACAUGACUAUUUAUAGGGGAUCAGGCCCUAUAGUCACCAAGAGAUAACUGAGAUUCUUUUAUGAGAGUGGUCUUAAAAAUAUACACGCAUCAGGUACUUCUUAUAAGUGGGUAACUACUUGCCCGUUGGAGUUUUAAAAUCUGUACUGUGAAGGUAAGUUAACCCCUCUUAAGAAAAUAACUGUCUC
rnacentral:lncRNA from 1 species